rnacentral:rRNA from 1 species
CCACUUGUUGCCUCGGCGGAUCAGCCCGCUCCCGGUAAAACGGGACGGCCCGCCAGAGGACCCCUAAACUCUGUUUCUAUAUGUAACUUCUGAGUAAAACCAUAAAUAAAUCAAAACUUUCAACAACGGAUCUCUUGGUUCUGGCAUCGAUGAAGAACGCAGCAAAAUGCGAUAAGUAAUGUGAAUUGCAGAAUUCAGUGAAUCAUCGAAUCUUUGAACGCACAUUGCGCCCGCCAGUAUUCUGGCGGGCAUGCCUGUUCGAGCGUCAUUUCAACCCUCAAGCACAGCUUGGUGUUGGGACUCGCGUUAAUUCGCGUUCCUCAAAUUGAUUGGCGGUCACGUCGAGCUUCCAUAGCGUAGUAGUAAAACCCUCGUUACUGGUAAUCGUCGCGGCCACGCCGUUAAACCCCAACUUCUGAAUGUUGACCUCGGAUCAGGUAGGAAUACCCGCUGAACUUAAGCAUAUCAAUAGCCGGAGGAA